rnacentral:lncRNA from 1 species
UAUAUAGCCAUUUAAUCUGAAAUUGGUGAAGUAAACAGGGUAAUUAUCCUUCUGUGUUUCAGUUCAUGAUGAAGCGGAUAGAGGAAGUGGACAUGGAUGCCCUUUCCCCAUCCCCAGAAUGCUCUGCUGAGCUGCUGCAGAGACUCACACUCUCAAUCCCUGAGGUAAUGCACACCCUGCGGAGUGCAGAGAGUGUGUGCGAGGAGCUUCAGGUGAGCGUGUCUGGGCUGGACAGCCGACUGGCAGAGCUGCAACACUGGGAAUGUGAGGCCAAGGAGCUGUACCAUCUCCUGCGGGAAGAAGAGCACAGGCAGAGUCAAACUCAGGAUCCAAGGGUUAGGGAGCUGAUCUCCCAAGCCCUGCAGUUGGAGGGCCAAGUGGUGACUGAGGAGCAGGACCUGCAGGUUAUGGUGAUGACAGCACAGAAGAGUUCACCACUGCAGUACCUGAUUGCCACUGUGAUGCAGGAAAGAGUGAGAGCAACAGUUGCUCAGUCUCAGGAGGCUGUAGGGAUGCUCAGCUCUCUGGGUUCCAGACAAGCCCAAAGCCCCACUGGAGACCAAACUCUUGCCCAAGCUGUGCAACCCCAAGUUGAACCUCAACCUCCUUUUCUCCCUGAGGACCUCACUGAGCUUUGUACCCAUGAAGAGGCUCAGCACCCACCCAAGAUUAGCAUAACAGAAUAUAAAGAGCUCCAGCCUCUGGUGCAGGUUUAUAACAAUGCACAGGAUUUACCUCAUGCCAGAGACAAGGCUGUCUUCCAGUCCCAGCCUCACCUUGAUAGGCAGUCUGUUCACCAGCCCCCAGUUCAGGCCCAUGCUCAGACCAAAGGCUACAGUCAAACGUCAUCAGUACUCACUGAGCCUAAUCCCCACUCUCAACCUCUUAUACCUUCUCAAACUAAGGACCAGCGGCAGCCCCAAGCCCAAUCUCAGAUACAAGAUCAACCUAAAAAGGCAAGAGUCAGCACAAGACCAUGGGCAAAUAAAAAAUCCCAGGGCCAGGCCUCCUCUAAGCCUCAUUAUCAACCUGUACCCCAGACCCAAACUUCUAUUCAAGACAAGGCUCAGCCUAAGGCUCCAGCCAAGACUUACAGUGAAAACAAGGUUCAACCUAAGCCCCAACCUAAAGCUCAGCCACAAAUUAAUAAGCAUGCCAAGGUUCAGAUGCAAGCUGUCAUUAAGCCUAAAGAUGAAAACCAUCAGAAGGCCCAAUCCCAGCCACAAAUCUUGCCCCAGACUAGUGUAAGUAUUAAGGUUGAGCCCACAGGCUACAGCCAGAACUUGUACCAGUCACAGACUUAUAAACAGAUUCAAAGUCCAACCAUGAUCCAGGUCCAGCCCCCACUAUGGGUUAAUACGCAAAUUGAUGCACCCUCUCAAGUGUCUUCAAAGACCCAAGUUCAGCCGCAGGGUCAGGGUUACCCUUGUUCAGGGGCUCAGAGCCAGUCCCAAAUACAGUCUCCCUCUGGCACCCAUAGUACAACUGAAACAGGAGCAUCAUCUUUCUUAAAGACCAAACAUGAUCCUAAAGCUGAAUCUUUGCCACAGCCAUGGAUUCCAGCAAAGCCACAAGUUCAGUCCCAGGCCCAAUCUCAGGUCCAGACUCAACUAUUGGCCCAGCCUCUUAUGAUACCUCACACAAAGGUUCCUGUCCUUGCCCAGGCUCCGCUACAGGCCUAUACAGAGGCCUACGCCAAAGCACAGGCUCUUGCCAGGGACAGGUUUGAAGAAGCCAAACACUGUCUGCAAGACCACAUCCUAGAGACUAUCAUGGUGUUCAAUGACAGAGGUAUCUCUGAAGAGCAAGCCAAUAAAAAGGAGGAAGCACUUAGGACACUGGAUCCUGAGCUCCUGGAUGAGUUUCUGAGGGCAGCAGAGGGCAUGGAGGCCUUCUGUAGCCCAGCCCAACUUCGGGACAUGGAGUUCUUCACCCAGUCGGUCCGAACACAGUGGGAGGCAUGUUUCUCUGAGGAGGGCAGCCUGCUGCAGGCAGGACAUCACCUGGAAGCCCUGAGGGAGCUGUGUGACACGUUGAGCCCUGAGGACGCACACCGCCUUGCGCAGGCCCAGCUUCGUGAGUGCGAAAGAAGGCUGGCGGCCAUCCAGCGCCAGUUCAGCAGUGACAGGGACAUACCGCCUUCGGACCUUGGGUAUUGCCCAGAACACGCAGAAAACGAGAUGUAUCAGAAAGAGUCUGACCUCCUCAGUGGUCCUCCAUAUGGCACAGAGGUUACCUUCAUGGAGGCUGGCUUAGAGAAGUCUCAGCUGAACGAUCCAAUAACAACUAAGGACAUUUCCUCUAAAGAGGAAAUGCUAAAAAGCUACCAAGACUCCAGGACUGCCCUUCAAGCCAAGCUGGCCAGUAAUGAACAAUGCAUGCCUGUGCACCUUCCUUCAGACUCUGCCUCCUCUGCUGUUUUGCAUGUCAAGUUACAGGAGUUGCAGGUGUGUCUUUAACCCCAUCUACAGCUAUU